UGGGGAAUAUUGCACAAUGGGCGCAAGCCUGAUGCAGCGACGCCGCGUGAGGGAUGACGGCCUUCGGGUUGUAAACCUCUUUCAACGCCGACGAAGCGGAAGUGACGGUAGGCGUAGAAGAAGCACCGGCCAACUACGUGCCAGCAGCCGCGGUAAUACGUAGGGUGCGAGCGUUGUCCGGAAUUACUGGGCGUAAAGAGCUCGUAGGUGGUUUGUCGCGUUGUUCGUGAAAACUCACAACUCAAUUGUGGGCGUGCGGGCGAUACGGGCAGACUGGAGUACUGCAGGGGAGACUGGAAUUCCUGGUGUAGCGGUGGAAUGCGCAGAUAUCAGGAGGAACACCGGUGGCGAAGGCGGGUCUCUGGGCAGUAACUGACGCUGAGGAGCGAAAGCGUGGGGAGCGAACAGG
rnacentral:rRNA from 1 species